rnacentral:rRNA from 1 species
GCAUAUCAAUAAGCGGAGGAAAAGAAACCAACAGGGAUUGCCCCAGUAACGGCGAAGUGAAGCGGCAACAGCUCAAAUUUGAAAUCUGGCCCCAGGCCCGAGUUGUAAUUUGCAGAGGAUGCGUUUGGCGCGGUGCCUUCCGAGUUCCCUGGAACGGGACGCCAUAGAGGGUGAGAGCCCCGUACGGUUGGACACCAAGCCUUUGUAAUGCUCCUUCGACGAGUCGAGUAGUUUGGGAAUGCUGCUCUAAAUGGGAGGUACAUUUCUUCUAAAGCUAAAUAUUGGCCAGAGACCGAUAGCGCACAAGUAGAGUGAUCGAAAGAUGAAAAGCACUUUGAAAAGAGGGUUAAACAGCACGUGAAAUUGUUAAAAGGGAAGCGCUUGUGACCAGACUUGCGUCCGGUGAAUCACCCAGCUCUCGCGGCUGGGGCACUUCGCCGGCACAGGCCAGCAUCAGCUUGCCGUCGGGGACAAAAGCUUCAGGAACGUGGCUCCUCUCGGGGAGUGUUAUAACCUGCUGCAUAAUACCCUUCGGCGGGCUGAGGUACGCGCUCCGCAAGGAUGCUGGCGUAAUGGUCAUCAGCGACCCGUCUUGAAACACGGACCAAGGAGUCAACCUUAUGUGCGAGUGUUUGGGUGUCAAACCCCUACGCGUAAUGAAAGUGAACGCAGGUGAGAGCUUCGGCGCAUCAUCGACCGAUCCUGAUGUUCUCGGAUGGAUUUGAGUAUGAGCAUAUAGGGUUGGACCCGAAAGAAGGUGAACUAUGCGUGUGUAGGGUGAAGCCAGAGGAAACUCUGGUGGAGGCUCGCAGCGGUUCUGACGUGCAAAUCGAUCGUCAAACAUGCGCAUGGGGGCGAAAGACUAAUCGAACCUUCUAGUAGCUGGUUUCCGCCGA